AGCGAACGCUGGCGGCGUGCUUAAGACAUGCAAGUCGAACGUAACGGGGAGCAAUCCCUUAAAAGUGGCGUACGGGUGAGUAACACGUGGAUAAUCUACCUUAAAGUUGGGGAUAACAUUCCGAAAGGAGUGCUAAUACCGGAAUAAUGUAUAGAGACGGUUUGCGUUUUUAUAAGAAAGGGGCAGCAAUGUCUCGCUUUAGGAUGAGUCUGCGUCCCAUUAGCUAGUUGGUAGGGUAAUGGCCUACCAAGGCGAUGAUGGGUAGCUGGUCUGAGAGGAUGAUCAGCCACACUGGAACUGAAACACGGUCCAGACUCCUACGGGAGGCAGCAGUCGGGAAUUUGGCGCAAUGGACGAAAGUCUGACGCAGCCACGCCGCGUGAGUGAAGAAGGCCCUCGGGUUGUAAAGCUCUGUCGGAUGGGACAAAAGCCCAGGGUGAUCCCCUGGUUUGAUGGUACCAUCAAAGGAAGCACCGGCUAACUUCGUGCCAGCCGCCGCGGUAA
rnacentral:rRNA from 1 species